rnacentral:ncRNA from 1 species
AAAACUCUGAGGACGGAACUGGUAGCCGUAGCCCAUCGUAAGAUGUAGGAGAUGUGGGAGUACCACCCCACCUAGUUUU